CUUAGAGGAACUUUUUUCUGCAAACCCAGAGACUUCUGAUACAGUAUUCCAUAUCAUAACAUCAUGCGACAGGCUGUUGGAUGAAGAGACAGUGCACUGUGGAGCUGUGUCUCUUGUUUAGCAGUCUCAUGGGCGAACAGUGGAGGGCCUGCUGAUAAAUAUUUGGAUGGACUCUCUCUCUCCUCCAGUUUUAUUUUUGGUUUGUUUUGAUUUAUAACUCUUAUUUAUUCUGUAUUAUAUCACAUUCCGUUCACUAAAUUAGUUUGUCCUAUCUCAGUUGGGUUUCUCCCUCUUCCUUCCCCAAUCCCUUUCUCCUGAGGGAAGGGAGUGGUAUGGUGUGAUUAACUCUUCAAACCAGGACAGUGUCUCAGUACAAACUGAAGUAAUAGUGAUGCUCUAUAGAAGUGUUAUAAAGUGCCAUGAAUCUUUACUUUUUUUUUCCACAAAUAUAAAUGUAAAUUGAAAUGAUGUUUUCAAGAGUAUUACUGCAAAUCUGUCACUUAGUGUUUCCUAGUUCAAAAUAAUACUUAGUGUAUUCUUAAGUUUUUGUUCCAAUAUUGGAUGUUUUUACACCUUAAUA